rnacentral:lncRNA from 1 species
CUAAAUAAGAAUUAUGCCUUUUGGAGAAGUUCCAGUGAGAAGUGUUUCAAUUAUCUAUUGCUGCAUAUAAAACUUCUUCAAAACUUAGCAGCUUAAAACAGUAACAAUUUGAUUAUUUUUCAGAAUUCUGUGGUUCAGGAAGUCAGAAGCAACACAGCAGGGAUUACUCAUCUCUGCUUCAUAUGAUACCUUCUGGGGCUGAAGGAGCCAAGAUGGUCUCUUCACUCAUGUAUCUGGCAACUCACCUCGGAUGGUUUGAACAGAUGGGGCUGACUGAAACAACUCAACUAGUGUUGCAUGUCUGGGGUCUAGGAUCUUGCUGUUGGCUAGGCUCUUCAAUUAUCAUCCAGGCUGAUGCAAUCCCAUGGGGGAACCUGUCUGGUAUCCAGAGGAAAAUAGCAUGGAAUGAGAGUCUUAGGAGAAUGUAGAGAAGGAAUUUACACUGUGAGAUAAAAGAGACCUUACAGCGGGUAAGGAAGAACCAGUAUUUGGUUCUCAAAGUGAACAGUACCAGAGAGAAACACACAUUUAGACUUGGUCGUGAAGAGAGCACAAUCUUACUAGCCAGAUACCAGUUCCUGGGGCUUUGAUGAUUUGCCAAAACAAGACAGAUAUUCAGAAAGGUAAGGAGGCUCAAGUCACAGCCCUUUAAAUAUUACUAUGUGGGUGUUUAUGGGUGUGUCUUCUGGUGUAUAUGCAUGUGUGUGUAUAUUUCUCUCCCAGUGUUGAUAGCAUAUUUCCACAAAUAUUGUUAUGCUGGGGAGAUUAAAGCAACUGCAGGAAUCCGCUGUACUUCU